rnacentral:tRNA from 1 species
AGAAGCUUUAUCUUAAUUAAAGUUCUUGAGUUGCAUUCAGGAGAUGUUGGUUUAUGUCCUGCAAGUUUC